AAAAGCUGAAACAUAUUAGGAGUGUAUUUGGGUGAAUGUUUAAAAAGAUAAUUUUGAAUGACACUGAUUUUGUUUAGUUAAUUUGGGUACAAUUGAAAUCAAAGUGAGGUGAUUUAUAAUUGAAUAUUUUUACUCUAAAAGCAAGCUUGAAGCUAAACCAAGUUUACCAAACACCUUUAUUUUCACUGAAGUCAAGUCUGACAGAAGGAGAAAUCAAUUCCAAUACUCUACUGUGAAGCCAAACACACAAGAACCUUAUGAGAAAGGGAGAGUUUUCAAUAUUUUCCCUU